UACGAAGGGGGCUAGCGUUGUUCGGAAUUACUGGGCGUAAAGCGCGCGCAGGCGGUUUUUCAAGUCAGUGGUGAAAGCCCGGAGCUCAACUCCGGAAUUGCCAUUGAAACUGUGGAACUUGAGGAUGAGAGAGGUGAGUGGAAUUCCCAGUGUAGAGGUGAAAUUCGUAGAUAUUGGGAAGAACACCGGUGGCGAAGGCGGCUCACUGGCUCAUUUCUGACGCUCAGGCGCGACAGCGUGGGGAUCAAACAGG
rnacentral:rRNA from 1 species